CCUCAAGUGAUCCUCCUGCCUCAGCCUCUCAAAGUGCUGGGAUUACAGGAGUGAACCACUGUGCCCAGCCAUUGCCAACACUCUAGUAUUAGCUUGGUGAGAUGGUGUCUAACUUCCGGUCUCCAGAAUUGUACAAUAAGUUUUUGCUGUUUUAAGGCAAAAAUAAAUCUCAUGUUCCCUGUAACUCACCAAUCCCAUUUUGAGAAAUUUAUACUACAGAAAUAGCCACAGUAGUAUCCAAGUGUUUACUCAAGAGAAUUAAUCAUAGCACUGGGUACUGCAGGGUGAGGAGGGAACAAGAAAUUCUUUGGUCUUGGUAGAAAUGAUGGUGCCAGCCAGAAAAUAGAUUCAUCCAGGCAUGAAAAGAAAAAAGUUAACUGCUCGCUCACUUCUAUAGUACAUACACUAAAAUUGGAAUGAUUAGAAUGGCCCCUGUGCAAGGGUAAACACAAAUUUGUGAAGCAUUCCAUAUGGUGGGGUCAUCCCUCUCCUAUUGUGAAUAUUUGCAGUUAUUUCAUCCAUCAUCCCUCUCUCUGACCUACCCUUCCGUCUCCCAUUUCCGUAUUUUUUUUUUCCAGACAGGGUCUCAUCCUGUUGCCCAGGCUGGAGUGCAAUGGUGUUAUCAGAGCUCACUGCAGCCUUAACCUCCUGGGCUCAAGUGAUUCUCCCACCUCAGUCUCCCUGGGACUACAGAGUAGGAAGGAGAAGAGUGCUGAAUCAAGGCCCCCAAGGAGUCCCCAUUCCAAUCCCCAGAAGCUGUGAACAUCUCAAUUGGCAAAAGGGACUCUGCGGUGUGACUAAGUGUGCAGGUAGGGGACAAGAUAUGAUGAGGGUCCUUAAGGAGGCCAAAGGAUCGAUGGGUGUCAGAGAGCUGGCAGCCUAAGGAAGACGUGACCAACCAUGGCUGGCUUUGAAGACGGAGGAAUGGACCAAGAAAAAAAAAAGGGGGAACGUGGGCUGACUCUAGAAGCUGGAAAAGGCAACAAAAUGGAUUAUUCUCUCCUAGAGCCUUCAAGAGGAACCAGUCCUGUUAAAACCUUGAUUUUGGCCGGGCGCGGUGGCUCACGCCUGUAAUCCCAGCACUUUGGGAGGCCGAGGUGGGUGGAUCACGAGGUCAGGAGAUCGAGACCAUCCUGGCUAACACGGUGAAACCCCGUCUCUACUAAAAAUGCAAAAAAAUUAGCCGGGCGUGGUGGCGGGUGUCUGUAGUCCCAGCUACUCAGGAGGUUGAGGCAGGAGAAUGGCGUGAACCCGGGAGGCAGAGCUUGCAGUGAGCCGAGAUUGUGCCACCGCACUGCAGCCUGGGCAACUGAGCGAGACUCCAUCUCAGACAAAACAAAACAAAACAAAACAAAACAAAACCUUGAUUUUAGCCCAGUGGGACCCAUGUCAGAGUUCUGACCUUCAGAGCUAUAAGAGAAUCUGUUGUUUCAAGCUGCCAAGUUUGUUAAAGCAGCAACAGAAAACUAAUACAGUGCAUUGGCGAGUCCCCAGUGACUGCCCAGAGAUCCGGUGCUUCCCAGGGAGCUGACCUUUUGCCUUCCUGCUGCAUGACCAGCUAACUAUGGAGGGUGCGGCCUGACCUAGAAGUACCCAUGGCCUUGGCGCAACCCCUGCUUGCAGCCCCUCUUCUCAGAGGUCCCCCUUGUCCAGCCGUACUUCGAAAGGAAAUCCCCUUUGUGUCUCUCAAGCCGGGACUGAUGAGUUCCAAGGCCAGUGAGGCUGGGAGCAGGAGAAACGGAAGCCAACUGUGCUUUCCUGGGUCUUCUGCUGCUCUCCACACUGAGACCUCAGGCCCAGCCUCUGCACAGACGAG